rnacentral:misc_RNA from 1 species
GAUGAAGAACGCAGUGAAAUGCGAUAAGUAAUGUGAAUUGCAGAAUUCAGUGAAUCAUCGAAUCUUUGAACGCACAUUGCGCCCGCCAGUAUUCUGGCGGGCAUGCCUGUUCGAGCGACAUUACAACCCUCAGGCCCCCGGGCCUGGCGUUGGGGAUCGGCGGAGCCCCCCGUGGGCACACGCCGUCCCCCAAAUGCAGUGGCGGUCCCGCCGCAGCUUCCAUCGCGUAGUAGCUAACACCUCGCGACUGGAGAGCGGCGCGGCCACGCCGUAAAACACCCAACUCUUCUGAAGUUGACCUCGAAUCAGGUAGGAAUACCCGCUGAACUUAAGCAUAUCAAUAAGCGGAGGA